GAUGAACGCUAGCGGGAGGCCUAACACAUGCAAGCCGAGCGGGAUUUAUUGGUUAGCUUGCUAACUGAUGAUGAGAGCGGCGUACGGGUGCGGAACAUGUGUGCAAUCUGCCCUUAUCAAGGGGAUAGCCCAGAGGAAUCUGGAUUAAUACCCUAUAACAUAUGGGAUGGCAUCAUUUCAUAUUAAAAGCUACGGCGGAUAAGGAUGAGCACGCACAAGAUUAGCUAGUUGGUAAGGUAACGGCUUACCAAGGCGACGAUCUUUAGGGGGCCUGAGAGGGUGAUCCCCCACACUGGGACUGAGACACGGCCCAGACUCCUACGGGAGGCAGCAGUGAGGAAUAUUGGACAAUGGGUGGAAGCCUGAUCCAGCCAUCCCGCGUGCAGGACGACUGCCCUAUGGGUUGUAAACUGCUUUUAUAUAGGGAUAAACCUACUCUCGUGAGAGUAGCUGAAGGUACUAUAUGAAUAAGCACCGGCUAACUCCGUGCCAGCAGCCGCGGUAAUACGGAGGAUGCGAGCGUUAUCCGGAAUCAUUGGGUUUAAAGGGUCCGUAGGCGGGCUGAUAAGUCAGAGGUGAAAGCGCUUAGCUCAACUAAGCAACUGCCUUUGAAACUGUCAGUCUUGAAUGAUUGUGAAGUAGUUGGAAUGUGUAGUGUAGCGGUGAAAUGCUUAGAUAUUACACAGAACACCGAUAGCGAAGGCAUAUUACUAACAAUUUAUUGACGCUGAUGGACGAAAGCGUGGGGAGCGAACAGG
rnacentral:rRNA from 1 species